GUGUCAGCAGCCGCGGUAAUACGAAGGGUGCAAGCGUUAUCCGGAUUCAUUGGGUUUAAAGGGUGCGUAGGCGGAACAAUAAGUCAGCGGUGAAAGCCCGUAGCUUAACUACGGAAUUGCCGUUGAUACUGUUGUUCUUGAGUACGUUUGACGUGGGCGGAAUGUGCCGUGUAGCGGUGAAAUGCUUAGAUAUGGCACAGAACACCGAUAGUGAAGACAGCUCACGAAGACGAAACUGACGCUGAGGCACGAAAGCGUGGGGAUCAAACAGGAUUAGAUACCCUGGUAGUCCACGCCGUAAACGAUGAUCACUCGUGAUCGGCGAUAUACUGUCGGUCACCUAGCGAAAGCGUUAAGUGAUCCACCUGGGGAGUACGAUCGCAAGAUUGAA
rnacentral:rRNA from 1 species